AGCGAACGCUGGCGGCAGGCUUAACACAUGCAAGUCGAGCGGGCAUCCUUGUGGUGUCAGCGGCAGACGGGUGAGUAACGCGUGGGAACGUGCCCUUCGGUUCGGAAUAACUCAGGGAAACUUGAGCUAAUACCGGAUACGUGCGAGAGCAGAAAGGUUUAUCCGCCGAAGGAUCGGCCCGCGUCUGAUUAGCUAGUUGGUGAGGUUACGGCUCACCAAGGCGACGAUCAGUAGCUGGUCUGAGAGGAUGAUCAGCCACACUGGGACUGAGACACGGCCCAGACUCCUACGGGAGGCAGCAGUGGGGAAUAUUGGACAAUGGGGGCAACCCUGAUCCAGCCAUGCCGCGUGAGUGAUGACGGCCUUAGGGUUGUAAAGCUCUUUUCUCCGGGACGAUAAUGACGGUACCGGAGGAAUAAGCCCCGGCUAACUUCGUG
rnacentral:rRNA from 1 species